AGGUAUGUAAUAGCUUAUUACCUAUUCGAAAUAAGGUAAGUUAGUUAUUUGAUAUGCAAUGCAAUUUAUUACAUGCUGCUAAUGUAAAUGUAAGUAUAUUUGUGAAGUAUAUUCGGCUACAUGAUAAGUAUAAGUAUGAGAUAUUAAAGUUUGAUUCAAGAACAUAUGCUUAUGAGUGUGUAUAUAUUUGAUUAUAGAAUGGUACCAUGGUUUUGAAAUUGAAUGUUACCUUGAUAAUAGAUAUAGUACAUUCGGCCAAAGGUUAUGUAUAAUGAUGUUAUAUUUGUGACCUAUGCGCAAACAUAUAUAAAUGAUUAUGUACGGCCUUAAGGAUAUAAAAUAAGAAUAUUUAUGAAAUGAUCCAUGAAUAUAUGUAUAUGAGAUUAUGUAUAUUCGGUUAAAUAAUGACAUUAUGGCUUUGAGUGUGAAUGAUAUUUUGAUAUUGGAUGUAUGUAUAUUUGGCAAAAUAAAAAUAUGUAUUAUAUGAAACUGUAAGUUUGAAAUUAAAUGUGAUUAUGAUAGUAUGAAUUGGUUUGGAAAUUGAAUUAAUAUUGUUAUUGAGUCAUUAAUUUGCUUAUGGCUUACUAAGCUUUUAAAGAUUACUCUGUGUGUUUUUCCUAUGUUUAUAGAGUUUCAGAGAAUUGCUCGGGUUGGGAGUCGUAGGAGACCUCAUCACAUUAUCCAGUUUUCGCUUCGUUAGCAUUUUGCGGAACUUGACAAUCGGAUCAUCCUAAAGAUCGCACUAUCCAAUCUUUAUUUUGGUACAAUUUUAAUUGUUCAACUUGGUUAUGUGGCAUGUAUAUAAGAGUUAAGCUGUAUAUAAGUGUUUUGUAAAAUCAAAAUAUGAAUGGUGAUGUAUAAAGUAUGUGUGCUUGAUGGCAUUUUGAUAUGUU